AUUGUUUGGGAUUCUCUCUCUCCCUCUCUCUGCUCCUCUCCCCCUCAAAAUACAUAAAAUAAACAUUUAGAAAAACUAAUACUAAUAAAUAUGCUCACUUGUAAUGUUAGCUAUUAAUCACUGAAAAGUGAGGUAAUGUAGAGAGGAGGAAAAUACAGAAAAAAGAUUAUACGAAUACAGGCGGUUCACGGGAGGGCAGGAAUCCCAACUUGUUUCCCUCUGCACUUCUUCUUCCUUUGUCUUUUCCCAGUUUUUCCCAUGCUGGUUUGAGAACAUGGAAAAAUGAGUUGAUUUUGGAGAUCAAUGACACUUUGGUGAUUUUCUUCUGCUAAUGAAUGGUAAUGUGUUGGAGGGGACAAUCCAAGCAGUGAUCAGGGUAGAGAAGACAUUACACAUAAGUAAAAGCCUCUCGCUUUGCCUGUGUCUUUCUUUUUUUCCCAUUAGGCCCUGAACACAUCUCCAUCACCACUCUUAAUGUUCUGGGGGUAAUAACUAUCUAGUAUUAUAAUGGAUGGUGCGGGGGAGGGGCUGGCACAUAGUAGGCACUUGAUGAAUAUUGUGACAUCCCUUCCAGUGCAAGGCUCUCUGGUUACAGUUUACCAACCCCAGGGUAACUGAUGUACGUACUGAAACAGCAAAAGGAGCUAAGGAAGCAAAAUAAAGCAGCACUUUCAACUAUUUCUAUUUUACAAAGUGCUUGGUGAAACUGUAAAAGGAUAUUUAGUACCACAAAAAGUAGGCCAAGGGUAAGAAAAACUCCAUACCCAGGAGAAUUCAGCUGACCAAAUUAAGUCUGAUCCAGAAUAAACAGUUCUCAUCUGGAAAUCUAGCAGUUCCAGAAAGUACUGUCCAAGUGGAAAAAGGCCCACGAUGCUGGUCUGCAUAAUUAUGUAACCCUUUAGGAAAGGGGAAGGAAGUGCCACCAUCCUGGGGUACAUGGGGGAAAGCAACCAUGAGAAAAUAAUAGUACUCAGGCCUCAAAGAAGGGGAUUGUGCUACUAGAGAAACCAGGCCCACAAGCCCUUUCUCAUGAACUUGACCAACUUUGGUCAUUUUUCCCUGUGCCUACCCGGUGUCCAAAACCUAAAACAAGGUUCCUAUUAUCCAAUCCGUCCAACAGAAAUAACUGUCAAAUAGGCACGUGAAUAGCACUGCACAUGAAGGAACCCGUUUGAAAUGAGACACGAGCUCAGCUGCAACGGUCAAAACCAGUCACGUCUGUGCUUUCUCUGGAAAAGCGUGAUCAUCGCCCCUUUGAAGAUCACUUAAAAACAUCAAACAAACUAGAUCCCAGAUGAUGUUAUACCAACCUUUCAUUCCUGGGAUAAAAUCUCCUUGGCCAAAUCCUUUUUAUAUGUUGAGGAACUUGACCACCUGCUAUAUAGAUGUCAUUAUCAGGAGUUACAACAGUCCCAACCUUCUGCAAAUCAGCUGGUGGGCUGCACAGCUUGUAAACUUUUUCUGCUUGGGGGCUGUAACAGACAGAAGAGUAAAGACUACAAGGAUUUUCUGAAGAUGCCUCAAUGAAAAUCAUCAUCUCCUCUUUAGUCAUUCCAAGUCUUGGUUUGAAAAACUUGGGCAUAGACUUAUACAGACCUUGAACCACUACAGACUUGUCAUUGGGUGGGAGGCCUUGGAACCAAGCUCUCUGCGUUACUUCUGAAAGUGCAUCAAUUCUGAUUUGGCUAAGAACUGAAGACAAAUACUGGGAUCGUGAUUCUGUGUUGUACUCUAGCCACAGCAUAGCAGCUUCUCGAACUGUCUCCUCCUUUUCAACAUUUAAAUUGUCACUACUGAGGAUGUCUAUCAGUAGGUCAUGUGACAGCUGCAUGAACGCUUCCUGGUGAUACACAGCAGUGAACUUGUGCUCUACCAUUCUUUUAGCACUUUGCUUUAAUUCUUCACAACUGAACAGAUCAGCAAAACUCAACAAUCGCACACAAUUCUCUGCAUUGAUUUUCUUAAUUAAGUAUUCUCGACAACGCUGUAAUACAUCUUCUACCUAAAAUGGGAGGAAACAAAAGGUUGAUAAAGACAGGACAAAUUUUACUUUUACUGUAAAACACAAGUAUAUUAAUCAGCUCCCUAUACUACGGUUUGUUUUUAGAUAUGUAUGUUUGGGCUAAGAGAUAAUGCCUUCCAGUAAUAAUAAAAUUAUAAGAUUAUG